rnacentral:rRNA from 1 species
CGUCUAUAUACGUAUAGCAUAUCAAUAAGCGGAGGAAAAGAAACUAACUAGGAUUCCCUCAGUAACGGCGAGUGAAGCGGGAAGAGCUCAAAUUUGAAAUCUUCAAGGUUCUACCUUGACGAAUUGUAGUUUAAAGAAGUGUUUUCUGUUGGAGUUUUGGUAAAAGUUCUUUGGAAUAGGACAUCAUAGAGGGUGAGAAUCCCGUAUUUGACCAUUAUUUCCAACUUUGUGAUACACUUUCAAAGAGUCGGAUUGUUUGGGAAUGCAGUCCAAAAUGGGUGGUAAAUUUCAUCUAAAGCUAAAUACUGGCGAGAGACCGAUAGCGAACAAGUACCGUGAGGGAAAGAUGAAAAGAACUUUGAAAAGAGAGUUAAACAGUACGUGAAAUUGUCAAAAGGGAAGCGUUUGACACCAGUGUUGUUUUCUCGAAAAUCAAUUAAAAAAGAUUGGAUUUUGUGUUGUAUUGACUUUAUCAGCUUUCUGCACUCUUUUCUUGUCUUUUUUAAUGCACUUUUCGUUUAACAAGUCAACAUCAAUUUCUUUUGUUGUAAAAGGGUCAUUGGAAGGUGGCUUUCUUUUCGGAGAAAGUGUUUAUAGCCUUUGGCUUCUGCAAUCGGAGAGAUUGAGGUCUGCAGCGUAGAUCCUUCGGGGUUAGAUACAUUUGUGCUAAGUUAUAGCCUUUCAUAGACAACUUGUUGACUAUGAUCAGUCAUGUAGCUUACUCGCUUAUGUCUAUUUUACCUACGCUUAGGAUGUUGACGAUCAGCUGAGCGCG